rnacentral:rRNA from 1 species
GUACAUGCUUAUAGCAUAGCAUUAAUGCACCAUAUCCCAUUAGAACUGUCUAGUUAAGUGCACUCGAGAUAGAGUAGUACUGGGAUGGGUAACCACACAGGAAGUCCUAGUAUUUUACAUG